CGGGAAUGAUGUAGUACAUAGCCAGUUCUGUGAAGUUACUGCAUGUUCCCAUCUCUGCUUAGAGCAUAUUCCCCUAUGAAAAUGCGCUGCUGCUUUCAAAGGAGUUUCUGUUCUGCUUCAUCCUCUCUGGUUCCUGUGCAGCUUCCUUCUCCAAUGGAAACUCAUUUUUGGUAUGUUUUGCCGGAUCAAGUCAAGAGUGUAUCGCUUUUAAAUCAAUACAUGGGACUUCUAUCUCCAAUUGAGAAAGAAAAUGUUCUAUCCAUGCCUGGACACCAGCUUCAGAAAAGGGCACUCCUAGCUCGUGCCUUGGUUCGCACCACCAUUGCCAGAUAUCAGAUAAAUGGCCAUGUUGAUCCAAGAUCUUUGAAAUUCAAGAAAAACAUACAUGGGAAGCCUGAGGUGGUGUGGCAAAGUGAAGAUGGCUGGUGCCAACCACAUUUACAUUUCAACAUUUCAC
rnacentral:misc_RNA from 1 species